AUGAAUGCCGAUGAAGUGGUGAUUAUCAACUCCUGCAGAUACCAUAAGGGCUGUCAACUUAGCGGCAAUACACACAGAAAAAUGGGAUAGAUACUAACUAAGGUUAGCAUUCAACAACCAAAAAAUAUUCAAAUAAAACUAGUUGCAAGAGAGGUGUGCAUCUUAUUUCCAGAGUAAAUAAAAAACCAAUGUAUGCCAUAAAAUGUGUCAUUGAAGAAAUAGUUUGUGUUAUGAGACAGACAAAAAACCAGACUCAUCCCACCAUCACUCGUAGACUAAGUUGCAUGAUACGUGUAAAUUUAGUUUAAAUGACAAUAUUGGUCUUUCAAAGAUGAUACCAACACACACUGGUCCUCAAUUUAUAAAUACAUCAAAUCAAUAACAUGAUCAAAUUGGUUUUAAAUUUUCACAUUUUAUCAUCAAAUUGUUUUUUUUAAGGAAAACCAAUGCCAUUAAUUAUCAUCAAAGCAACAAUCUUUGGAGAACCAAUCUAACCUCACAUAUAUCUUUAGAGGACCAAAAUGAAUGUUAAUUAUAUAGAUAAUGAAAAACAGAACAUCAUGGAAAUUUUAUAUUGUAAAGUAUAAACUAACACUUGAAUUACAAUCGACCAUAAUGAAUUCACGAAAUAUUAGUUAAUACCUUUAAGUGUUCAAGGGGAAAAGUUCCUAAUAUUGCCUCUGUGCUUCGUAAAUUUUAUUUUAUAACCCUAUCUAAAUUCAUAUGUUAUUUAAGAAACAUGGCCACUGAACUAGCUAUCCUUAUCCUAGUUCACAACUAUUUCAUACUUCCAUAGCAACCCAUCCCUUCCCAAAAAAAUAAAAUAACCCUUUAUAUCCAGUGAAUAUUGAAAGCAUCAAACACAUCCAAAACUAAAUUAACAAAAAUAGCUUCAACCUUAAAUGGAACUUAAACAAUAACUACACAACAAAAUAGAUUCCCCUACAUUACCUUAAAUGAUCCAAAAGUUACGCCCUUUUUCCGAUUAGUCAACUGAGCCAUCAUGAGUUUGUCAUAUGCCUUUUCCAGAUGAAUUAUACAUUCACAGCGCACAACAUCCCACACAUUAGUGCAUUAAAAUUUGACCUCUUAAAACAUGUCAUGUGUCAGUAUCACAAUACCAAUUUUAAUGUUUUGCCAAUUUCAAUUUUCAUCAUAACAUCUAUUUUGUCAAUUAGAAGUUUGGAUGGCCAGGUCCUAAAAAUUAGCAAAGCUAUAAUAACUAACUAGUUACAUA
rnacentral:lncRNA from 1 species